GAUGAACGCUGGCGGCGUGCCUAAUACAUGCAAGUCGAGCGAACAGACGAGGAGCUUGCUCCUCUGACGUUAGCGGCGGACGGGUGAGUAACACGUGGAUAACCUACCUAUAAGACUGGGAUAACUUCGGGAAACCGGAGCUAAUACCGGAUAAUAUAUUGAACCGCAUGGUUCAAUAGUGAAAGUCGGUUUUGCUGUCACUUAUAGAUGGAUCCGCGCCGCAUUAGCUAGUUGGUAAGGUAACGGCUUACCAAGGCAACGAUGCGUAGCCGACCUGAGAGGGUGAUCGGCCACACUGGAACUGAGACACGGUCCAGACUCCUACGGGAGGCAGCAGUAGGGAAUCUUCCGCAAUGGGCGAAAGCCUGACGGAGCAACGCCGCGUGAGUGAUGAAGGUCUUCGGAUCGUAAAACUCUGUUAUUAGGGAAGAACAAAUGUGUAAGUAACUAUGCACGUCUUGACGGUGCCUAAUCAGAAAGCCACGGCUAACUACGUG
rnacentral:rRNA from 1 species